GUUCAUCUUCGGGGCAGGGUGAAAUUCCCGAUCGGCGGUAUUAGAGAACUAAGCAAUACUCUUGAGCCCGCGAGCCGCAAGGCAGGAUUUGGUUAAAUUCCAAAGCCGACAGUAUAGUCUGGAUGGGAGAAGGUGAAG
rnacentral:ncRNA from 2 species